rnacentral:rRNA from 1 species
CCUACGGGGAGCAGCAGUCGAGAAUCAUUCACAAUGGGGGAAACCCUGAUGGUGCGACGCCGCGUGGGGGAAUGAAGGUCUUCGGAUUGUAAACCCCUGUCAUGUGGGAGCAAAUUAAAAAGAUAGUACCACAAGAGGAAGAGACGGCUAACUCUGUGCCAGCAGCCGCGGUAAUACAGAGGUCUCAAGCGUUGUUCGGAAUCACUGGGCGUAAGGCGUGCGUAGGCUGUUUCGUAAGUCGUGUGUGAAAGGCGCGGGCUCAACCCGCGGACGGCACAUGAUACUGCGAGACUAGAGUAAUGGAGGGGGAACCGGAAUUCUCGGUGUAGCAGUGAAAUGCGUAGAUAUCGAGAGGAACACUCGUGGCGAGGGCGGGUGCCUGGACAUUAACUGACGCUGAGGCACGAAGGCCAGGGGAGCGAAAGGGAUUAGAUACCCCUGUAGUC